GCGACACUAGCUCAGUUGGUAGAGCACUAGGUCACGAGUUCGAACCUCGUGUGUCGCUCCA
rnacentral:tRNA from 1 species